rnacentral:rRNA from 1 species
UACGUAGGGUGCAAGCGUUGUCCGGAAUUAUUGGGCGUAAAGAGCUCGUAGGCGGUCUGUCGCGUCUGCUGUGAAAACUCAGGGCUUAACCCUGAGCUUGCAGUGGGUACGGGCAGACUAGAGUGCGGUAGGGGAGACUGGAAUUCCUGGUGUAGCGGUGAAAUGCGCAGAUAUCAGGAGGAACACCCGGUGGCGAAGGCGGGUCUCUGGGCCGUAACUGACGC